GACUGGCCUCCUGCUGCAGGUCUUCCGGUCCUCGGGUCGUGCUGGUGGACGCUGUGUAGAGCCUUGGCCUGUGUCAAGUGAGCUGGUGUUCUGAGGACCACGCGCCGUCGGGUGCUCUCCAGAAGAGCUCUUCGCGGUGACUCCAGGGCUGAGACUCCACUUCCUAACGCCACACUGGUGCCCGUGCUCAGGAUGGAACCCAGGGGAAUCAAACCAAAGACAGUGCUGCAGCUUGAACUCAGAGCUUCACAGAACUACUGAGCUACAUCCCUGCCUACCCAUCUCAUUUUGUUUCAAGGAGCUAUUAGAUGAGUCCUUUUGCUUGCUAGGAGGUUCUGCAUUCAUCUGUGUUGGUGUUUUUGUAUUGAGACCAUACUAAAAGGAAACAGGGUAAUAUGGAGCCAUUAUCAAUAGUCCAGGCUGGCCCAGAAGUCAUAAUGCUCCUAUCUUAGCCUCCCACUUGCUGACCAAAAAUAUCUUUAUGAACAUUAUGAAGUUAUCUAUGGUUCCAUCAAUUCUGCUAUAACCAAAAUCACAAUUACCUUAUUAAAAUGCAAUAUAAAUAACAGUGAAAUAGUAUUAUUACAAUUCAUUCAAAUGGCUAAAAUUAUCAAGCUUGAUAACACAAAGUCUUUGGAGAAUGUGGAACAUGGGAAUGCAAACAUUUUCACCUCAGAAACCAGUGUAACAUCAUCUCCCAAAGUUUGUAUCCAUGAUUCAACUACUUUUGUCUAGCUAUAUAACAAACAGAAAUGUACAUAUACAAUAAAAGGUACAUGAAGUUGUAGUAGCAUUUUUGGUAAUGACUUCAAGCUGUAAACAACUCCAAAUCUAUUGUAAAUACAUUGUGACAU